GACGAACGCUGGCGGCGUGCUUAACACAUGCAAGUCGAACGGAAAGGCCCUGCUUUUGUGGGGUGCUCGAGUGGCGAACGGGUGAGUAACACGUGAGUAACCUGCCCUUUACUUUGGGAUAACUUCAGGAAACUGGGGCUAAUACCGGAUAUGAGCUCCUGCUGCAUGGUGGGGGUUGGAAAGUUUCGGCGGUUGGGGAUGGACUUGCGGCUUAUCAGCCUGUUGGUGGGGUAGUGGCUUACCAAGGCUUUGACGGGUAGCCGGCCUGAGAGGGUGACCGGCCACAUUGGGACUGAGAUACGGCCCAGACUCCUACGGGAGGCAGCAGUGGGGAAUAGUGCACAAUGGGCGGAAGCCUGAUGGAGCAACGCCGCGUGCGGGAUGACGGCCUUCGGGUUGUAAACCGCUUUCGCCUGUGACGAAGCGUGAGUGACGGUAAUGGGUAAAGAAGCACCGGCUAACUACGUG
rnacentral:rRNA from 1 species